rnacentral:rRNA from 1 species
CAAUAAGCAAAACAAGGGCGUAUGGGGGAUGCCUAGGCUCUCAGAGGCGAAGAAGGACGUGAUAAGCUGCGAAAAGCUGCGGGGACUGGCACAUACAGGUCGAUCCGCAGGUAUCCGAAUGGGGCAACCCACCGUACUGAAGGUACGGUACCCGAAAGGGGGCGAACCCGGGGAACUGAAACAUCUAAGUACCCGGAGGAAGAGAAAACAACAGUGAUUCCGACAGUAGCGGCGAGCGAACUCGGAUUAGCCCAAACCGGUGCCGUUACGGCGGCACCGGGGUUGUAGGACCGCGAGGUUCGAUGCGCAAUGAACUAGAACACGUUGGAAAGCGUGGCCAUAGACGGUGAUAGCCCGGUACAGGCAAGGAGCGUUAUCGAUAGCGGUAUCCUGAGUAGUGCGGGGCACGUGAAACCCUGUAUGAAUCCGGCGGGACCAUCCGCCAAGGCUAAAUACUCCUGAGAGACCGAUAGUGGACCAGUACCGUGAGGGAAAGGUGAAAAGAACCGUGAACAACGGAGUGAAACAGAACCUGAAACCAUACGCCUACAAGCGGUCGGAGCCAGCUUGCUGGUGACGGCGUGCCUUUUGCAUAAUGAGCCUACGAGUUACUGUUGCCAGCGAGGUUAAGGCAUUGAGUGCCGGAGCCGCAGCGAAAGCGAGCCUGAACAGGGCGCAUUAGUUGGUAGCAGUAGACGCGAAACCGUGUGAUCUACCCUUGGGCAGGCUGAAGUUUGGGUAACACCAAAUGGAGGGCCGAACCCGUUGACGUUGAAAAGUCUUGGGAUGACCUGAGGGUAGGGGUGAAAGGCCAAUCAAACUCGGAAAUAGCUCGUACUCCCCGAAAUGCAUUUAGGUGCAGCGUCGGCAUAUAGUUUUAUAGAGGUAGAGCUACUGAUUGGAUGCGGGGGCUUCACCGCCUACCAAUUCCUGACAAACUCCGAAUGCUAUAAAAUGUUGGGCGGCAGUGAGGGCAUGGGUGCUAAGGUCCAUGUCCGAGAGGGAAAGAACCCAGACCAUCAGCUAAGGUCCCCAAAUGUAUGUUAAGUUGAAAAAACGAGGUUGGACUGCACAGACAGCUAGGAUGUUGGCUUGGAAGCAGCCAUUCAUUUAAAGAGUGCGUAACAGCUCACUAGUCGAGCGGUCCGGCAUGGAUAAUAAUCGGGCAUAAACAUACUACCGAAGCUAUGGACUUGUAAUUUAUUAUAAGUGGUAGGGGAGCAUUCUGUUUGCGCCGAAGGUGUACCGCGAGGUAUGCUGGAGCGGACAGAAAAGAAAAUGUAGGCAUAAGUAACGAUAAUGCGGGCGAGAAACCCGCACUCCGAAAGACCAAGGUUUCCCCAGCUAUGCUAAUCAGCUGGGGGUCAGUCGGGGCCUAACGCGAACCCGAAAGGGGUAGUGGAUGGACAACGGGUCAAUAUUCCUGUACCUGCCCGCGCUAAAAGUGACGGAGGCGUAAAUUUGGUGCGAACUGACGGAAUAGUUCGUUGAAGCCAGUGGCAACACGGCGAUAGUACACUGAGGCUCCGGCCAAGGUGAUAAUCCAGAGUAGCGACUUCCAAGAAA